rnacentral:rRNA from 1 species
AUACAGAGGGUGCAAGCGUUAUUCGGAAUUACUGGGCAUAAAGCGCACGUAGGCGGCCUUCUAAGUCAGAUGUGAAAGCCCUCGGCUCAACCGAGGAACUGCAUCUGAAACUGGUUGGCUCGAGGACGACAGGGGCGAGUGGAACUCCAGGUGGAACGGUGAAAUGUGUAGAUAUCUGGAGGAACACCGGUGGCGAAAGCGGCUCACUGGGUCGUCUCUGACGCUGAGGUGCGAAAGCUAGGGUAGCAAACGGGAUUAGAUACCCUAGUAGUCC